CAUAUUAUUAUGUAUCUGGACAUAAACUGUAUCUAGACAAAAAUUAUGCACCAAGAAAAAUUAAAAUGACCUACAAUUUGGAAUGCAGGGAGUAGCAUUUUGCAUGCCGUCGUCGUCUCAUCACCGUGUGCGUGUGUGCAGAUGCUCCUUUGCAGCUGGUGAUCAACAACGCCACGAUCCCCGGCACCGGCAGGACGACGAGCACGGGCCAGAUCGUGAUGGCCGUGAGCCUGACCUCGGCACAGCAUCUGGACGCCCUGACGAGCAAUGGCAGCGGCAAGGCGUUCCUUGUUGCUCCUCCGCACGCCUGCGGCGCGCCAAGCAUUCCUCCCGGGAUGGCAGUCGCCGUGGAGGUGCACCCAACCGAUGUGGUUUCCGCCUCAGGUGGGCUACUCCGUCCGAUGAACAACGGCGGCCUGCAUGCAACGACGAACGCCGGCGGCGCCGCCACCAGCCACAACAAGGGUGCCGGUGACACUGUCCAUGCGCAGAUGCCAGCCAUCGCCGCCUCAGAUGGGCUGGUCCUUCCGGACGUCGAAAUGGUUUUUGCUAAAGUCAUCGAUCCUUUCGCUUGCCUGCUCCUAGGCUUUUUUGUAAUCGGUUAAUAAUGAAGGUGAACCUCCGCUAGUAUAUAAUAUAAUGAAAAAAUAAAUCUGUGAUGAAGGUCAGGUAUAUGUGUUGAGUUGCCGUGCCAUGAAAAUGCCAUUAUUACCGGUUGUGAACCCCUUUAGUACCGGUUUCGCAACUGGUACUUAGUAGUUCGAUACUAAGGGGGCUCUUUAGUACCGGUUGAAAUAACUGGUACCAAAGGGUAUUAAAAAAUUAAAAAAGUAAAUCCUCGCACGACUGGCUCCGCCGCCCUCCUCCGUCCGCCCACCGCUGCUCCCGCCUCCGCCCGCCCACCACCCUCCUCCCACCACCCACCCGCCGCCCUCCGCCACUCCCGCCUCCGCCCUCUGCUCGCCGCCACUCUCGCCCGCCCACCGCCGCCACCUCACCUCGCCCCGCCGCUGCUCCUCACUGUGCCGGUAAGGGGCGAGCGGAGGAGGGAGGGGAGGGGAGGCAGUGGAUCGAGAUCUAGCUAGCGGAAGGGGAGAUAGAGGAGAGAGAGAUAGCAGCGGGGGUGGGGUGACGGAUGGUGCAUGUGAAGAUAAGAUAGCAGUGGGGGGACGGAUGGGAAAUAAAGACAGCAGAAGGAGAUGAACGACGGAUGGAAGGCCUAAAGAUAGCAGAAGGAGAUGAACGGUGGGUGGAAGGCCUUUAGUACCAAAUGGGGGCUCUAUCGGGUGGAGCUCCCACCCGAUAUUAUACACAAAGGGUUCCUACCCUUAGUCCACUUAAGACGCACCCCCAACAGUAGACCCUCAACUAUUUGAUCUUGGCUGGUACAACGAGAUCUAAUAGUUGCUCAUGUUAAAAGAGGCCGACAACUCAUUCUCCGGGUGUAUGCCUAAGACGAUACUCCUAAGACUAUUUCAGAGGCAUUUGCAUCUCCAGAUGCAAAUGAUUGAAAAGAAGCUAUCCAUAGUGAGAUGGACUCUAUUCUUUCUAAUGGAACUUGGGAGGUUGUUGAUCGACCAUAUGGUUGUAAACCUGUGGGUUGCAAGUGGGUGUUCAAAAAGAAGCUUAGGCCUGAUGGUACUAUUGAUAAGUACAAGGCUCGACUUGUGGCUCAGGGUUAUACCCAGAAAGAAGGCGAAGAUAUAAAUUUCUUCAACACUUACUCACAUGUUGCUAGAUUGACCAGUAUUCGAGUAUUACUUUCCCUUGCUACCUCACAUGGUCUUCUCGUUCAUCAGAUGGAUGUUAAGACAGCUGUCCUUAAUGGAGAGUUGGAUGAGGAAAUUUAUAUGAAUCAGCCUGAUGGGUUUGUAAUAAAGGGUCAAGAGAACAAGGUGUGUAAAUUGCUGAAAUCUUUGUAUGGCCUGAAACAAGCACCUAAGCAGUGGCAUGAGAAAUUUGAUACUACACUCAUAUCAGCAUGCUUUUCUGUCAAUGAGUCUGAUAGAUGUGUGUACUACCGCCAUGGUGGGGGUGAGGGAGUUAUAUUGUGCUUGUAUGUCGAUGACAUACUGAAUUUUGGUACAAAUCUUGACGUGAUUAAAGAGGUCAAGUCAUUUCUGUGCCAAAAUUUUGACAUGAAAGAUCUGGGAGAGGCAGAUGUAAUUCUGAAUAUCAAGUUGAUCAAAGGAGAGAAUGGGAUUACUCUCACGCAAUCUCAUUAUGUGGAAAAGUUCUUGAGCCGGUUUGGCUUCAAGGACAGUAAGCCUUCUUCCACACCUUAUGAUCCAAGCUUGAUACUUCGGAAAAACAAGAGAAUUGGUAGAGAACAAUUAAGAUACUCUCAGAUUAUUGGAUCACUUAUGUAUUUAGCCAGUGCUACUAGGCCUGACAUCUCAUAUGUUGUUUGCAAACUGAGCCAGUUUACCUCUAAUCCGGGAGAUGAUCAUUGGCAUGCGCUUGAGCGAGUCAUGCGCUAUUUAGUUGGUACUAUGGAUUACGGAAUUCACUACUCCGGGUAUCCUGCGGUGCUGGAAGGCUAUAGUGAUUCAAAUUGGAUAUCUGAUGCUGAUGAACUGUAUGCCACAAGUGGAUACGUCUUCACUCUUGGUGGUGGUGUUGUUUCAUGGAGGUCAUCCAAACAGACUAUCUUAACGAGGUUUACCAUGGAAGCAGAACUUGCAGCAUUAGAUACAGCCACAGUUGAGGCUGAUUGGCUACGUGAACUCUUGAUGGACUUGCCUAUUGUCGAGAAACCUAUGCCGGCAAUACUUAUGAAUUGUGACAAUCAAACGGUGAUAGUCAAAGUGAACAAUUCUAAGGACAAUAUGAAGUUAUCAAGACACGUUAAGAGACGUCUGAAAUCUGUCAGGAAAAUGAGAAACUCCGGAGUAAUAUCAGUGGAUUACAUCUCAACUGAUAAAAACUUGGCAGAUCAGUUCACUAAGGGGCUGUCACGUAAUGUGAUAGACAGUGCAUCAAAGGAGAUAGGUAUGAGACCCAUAUGAGCUACACCAUGGUGGUAACCCAACCUAUGUGAUCGGAGAUCCCGUGAAGUAGGAUCUGGGAAGAACAAGCCAUGGGAUAGCAUGAGAGUAUCCUACUAACCCACUCGAGAAAUGAUGCAACACUCUCAAACCACUGCAUGGCAGGGUGGCUACUGCCUUAAUAUAUUUUGUUGGCUUUAAUUAGCAAAGAUGUUGCCCUGCAGAACAUCUUGGAAAAAUAUACCUAUAUGAGCCCGACUGUUGUAAGGUCGCAGUCUGUGAGACUUGGGUGAUCUCUACUAAGCUCAUGAAGAGACCAGGGGGUACGACCUAUAUGCCCCAUCCGCGGGGUAGGCUACUGGCAGCCAGGUACUAGUUCCGACUUUGAGUGAAACUUGUCCGCACAAAACUUGCAAUUCAAGGCUUAGUCCAUUGGAUGAAUGUAGCUUGAAGCUCUAGGCGAGAGUUCAACUUAACAGUCCUUGUUGAAAUACUGGUAUAUCAAACAGUAGUGAGAAAUGUGCAAAACACCUAAAUUGGUAUUUGAGAUCUGGUGGGGGAUUGUUAGAUAUAUGGGCUUGGCCCAUAUAUAUGAUAAUUCUGAAUAAAUCUCAAAGGCCCAUUUGCGUAAAGAGGGGGUACACCAUCUAUUAGUCCCAUAUUGCUAAUAGAUGAGGGUGUUGGAGCUUUUCCUCCCUAUAUAUAUGGACCACCUCCCUCAUGAAAAAGAUGCAAUAUAGACUACUAUACGGGAAGACCCUAAGGUUAGGGUAUCCCUAAGGUGGUCUGUACUAGUUAGGUUUUUGCCUCCUCUCGCUGUUGCGCCGCCACCGUAGUCUACUCCAUCCCGAUUGUCGGCGUGCAUCGGCGAUUGGGAGAGCAGGUCUCCGGAACCGUCGUCUUCAGCGAUCCUGCACCGGAAGAGGGCGAAUAAGGUUUUUGGGAAGCGCUCUGCGCGACUACUCGAUCGCUUCCUCCGCUUCGUCAAGUUCUUCGUCGACUCCUUCACCACGGCUCGUCUACCUCUUCGUCACUCAGGCAUCACUCGUCGUCGCGAACAACAUCAGGCUGCUGAUCGUCGUCGCCUGCUGUACCCGGUAGUCGUCCAGGAGCCGGUCUUCAUCAAGAAAGAAACGUACGAUCUCUUAUCUCAAAUUAUGUCUUCCAUACUAGCUAUUAUGAUCUGUUGCAGUCUGAUAGCACUGGAUAGUAUGGUAGAAUGUGUGAUUCUAUUUGCAAUGAUAGACUUGUCUAGAUCUUGCGUAGACAUGUCUAAUUUAAUCUACUGUUCAUCGUAUUCAUGAUUUAUUUCUGGAUUAAAUUAAAACUAAAAGUGCUUAUAUAUCCAACAAUCUCUACAGCUAAAAAAGUAAAAAGACCAUCAAAACGUCGUCCUACAUUUGCCACAAUAUAUAGUAAGCAAUAUAUGCCGGCCGAGCUCGAGCUUCGUCGCCCACGAGCAUGCCGCCGCGCUGGGGAUGGAAGGCGUCCACACUGCGCGGGAGCUCGGCGGUGCCCGCGUCCAUGUCAGCGCGCCUCCUGAGGCGGACGUGCACGUACAACAGCUGCAACUUGAGAAGGUGCAUGCCAGCGAGCUCCGCGGGGAUGUUGCCGCGCUUCAGGCACCGGAGAUGCUUGGGGUCGAGGAAGAGGUGCGGAGGGAUGGGCGGCGGCGGCGGCGGAGGGGAGGACAAGGAGAUGAGCGCGGUCACCGGUGGCAGUAGGGGUGGCGGCACUGCAGCGGGUGCUGCUGGGCGACGCGGUAGAGGCCGGUGCCGCCGGGAGGUGGACGAGCCGCGUAUAGAAAAUAAGGCCGACCAGAAGAAAAAAAAAGAAAGGUAAGGGAAAGGAGGAUGACACAUGGGACCCAUAGAUGACAGGUGGGACCCACUGAUAAGCGUGGCUAACGGUGUUAGAAUUGUAUCCAUCCUAACCUUCUCAGCCCCUCCAAUCAAACAAAAAAUUGGAACGGACCCAUCCCUCCUAACCAAACGGGUUGAAUCUAACCUAGUAAAGUGGGAUGGACCCAACCCAUUCCACUUGGUCCCAAAACCAAACACAUGCUUAGGAAUGGACGGGGGGUACGGAAGCAUCUAAAAAUGGAGGGCCUAUAGAGGGCCCAUUGAAAUACUUUUUUUAAAGCUUGAUCCUUUAGAUUUGCGGUAGAGUGUUUAGAGCAAAUACAUUGCUACACAUCAAUGGUCUCAUAGGUCGUCUCAUGCAGUGCCACGUAGGAUUUUUUUAUAACGUGGAGGAAAGAGAACGAGGAGAGAGAAAGAGGUCGUUGUUUCGUGAAACUAAAUUGUAGGACUACGAGACAACUCAAUAACCAUUGUACGAGUUAUUGUUGUCAUGCAACUGUUGGCGCUGAAAAUCGGCCGAUGACCCUCAGCGUCGGACACACGACCCGGGAGAAUCUGCUUAACUCCUGUUCGAGUUAUUGCCCUGGUGCGGUUCGCGUGGCGUGCCAGUCAAUCUAACCUGUUGAUUGACAAGGAAAGAAAAGUAUUAAAUUCCGGGGGUUUCAAUCGGCUGAAGUUCCGAUCUGUCUCGAAAAGCGUAUCAGCGAAUCGACCAAUUUACUGUAGAGAUGACCGGCUAUAGAGCAGCCGAUGAUCACGUAGCGAUUGUAAAGAAACUACUAGAGCAAUUUAAACAACGCUACGAAACGCAACACUUGAAGUAGAUCUAAUCGGCUAUAUGGCAAUAAAUAAGAAUAACAGUAACGAAGCCGACAGUUCGAAUCUCAAGCUGGAUAACUGGUGAUAAAACUAGAGCAAUAGAUAAAUCCUAUAAUUCUAGUUAAUAUCGAUAACUGGUGAAUAAAUCUAAACGAAACGACAGCGAUGCGCCCUAAGUUAAAGCUUAGAUAUUACUCGAUAAACGGAACUUACAAAUCGGCUGGAGAUCGUGUCGAUGCAUCCCUGCCAAUCCGUACGAACUCGUGAAAAGAAAAGGUUUUUGGCGAAGUCGCCGACUUGAAGGUAAAGUACGAAGAAUAAAUAGGUUUAUUGUAUUGAUUGAUGUGUUGUUUUACAAAUCUCUAGAGACUUAAGUUCGGGUUUGUAACACCAACCGGGACUAAAAGUGACUCCACGGAUGAGCUUUUAUUGAGGAUCACCUUUAGUUCCGGGUUCAAAAAUAAUCGAGAUUUUUGUUGAGGAUGGAAGUUCCUUUUUCUACUUCUACUAGUGAACGUUGUCAUUCAUGUGCAAGUUACAAGUUACAAGUUACAAGUUACAAGUUACGUGAUUUUUCACGCAAAAUAUGCGCAUGAGUCGUGCGUUGGAUUCGAACCUACGACCUCAAACCUCCCGCGUAGCUUCUUUACCAUCUCACCUACAAAGCACAUCUAAUUGAGUAGAGGAUGCAGUCUUUUUGUAGUAACUCGUGGGGGACACUUUAGUCCGAAUUUGUAACACCAACCGGGACUAGUCAUCUUUAGUCCCGGUUGGUGGUUGGUGUUACCAACUAGAACUAAGGUGUCUUCGCGGACGAGCUUUUUAUUGAGGAUCACCUUUAAUCCCGGUUAGUUUUGGGUUCAAAAACAACCCAGACUUUUAUUAGGGAUGGAAGAUUAUUUAUCUACUAGUGAACGUUAUCAUUCAUGCGUAUCGAAAGCAGCCCCGGCAUCGAAACACCACCUCUCGCCUAUAAAUGGUGACCAAACCUUUCGCUGCAAUGGCAACCACCAAGGCUGCAAUGGCAACCAGCAAGAUGCUUCUCCCGGUCACUCUCUGCUUCCUCCUCAUGCUCGCAGCGGAAAGCAAGGAAGACGAUAAUACUGUCGUCGUCUUCUACGGCACAGCGCGAUGCAAGAUCAACACCUCCAGGAUCAUCAGCAGUAAGUAAAUUUAUAUGCUGGGUCAACAAGCUAAUUAAACUUCUUUCACAAAUCAAAUGGCCCAAGAAUAAUAGACAAUCAUAUGAGUUUGAGUUUGCUAACCACGCCUUCCACGCGGUCCGAAUAAUCGACAAUCAUAUAACGUAUGCAUGCAGCGGAAGACUAUGUAUGUACAUGGCAUCAUAAAUUUUACGCAAAAACAUAGUUCCAAAUUGUACAUAUUAUUAUGUAUCUGGACAUAAACUGUAUCUAGACAAAAAUUAUGCACCAAGAAAAAUUAAAAUAACCUACAAUUUGGAAUGCAGGGAGUAGCAUUUUGCAUGCCGUCGUCGUCUCAUCACCGUGUGCGUGUGUGCAGAUGCUCCUUUGCAGCUGGUGAUCAACAACGCCACGAUCCCCGGCACCGGCAGGACGACGAGCACGGGCCAGAUCGUGAUGGCCGUGAGCCUGACCUCGGCACAGCAUCUGGACGCCCUGACGAGCAAUGGCAGCGGCAAGGCGUUCCUUGUUGCUCCUCCGCACGCCUGCGGCGCGCCAAGCAUUCCUCCCGGGAUGGCGGUCGCCGCGGAGGUGCACGCAACCGAUGUGGUGGUUCCCGUCCCAGGUGGGCUAUUCGGUUCGAUGAUCAACGGCAGCCUGCAUGCAACGACGAACGCCGGCGGCGCCUCCACCAGCCACAACAAGGGAGCCGGUGACACUGUCCACGCGCAGAUGCCAACCAUGGCCGCCUCAGAUGGGCUGGCCCUUCCGGACGUCGGAAUGGUUUUUGCUAAAGUCAUAGAUCGUUUCGCUUGCGUGGCUUUAUGAGCUUAAUAAUGAAGGUGAACCUCCGCUAGUAUAUAAUAUAAUGAAAAAAUAAAUCUGUGAUGAAGGUCAGGUAUAUGUGUUGUGGCUAUAUGUGUUGUGCCAUCGUGACCAGGGAAAAUGCCAUUAGUACCGGAACCCUUCUUUGAUACCGAUUUACUAGUAGUUCAGUACUAAGGGGCUCCUUUAGUACCGGUUGAAAUAACUGGUACCAAAUGGUAUUAAAAAAUUAAAAAAAAAGCAAAUCCCCCAUCGCUGCCCUCCGCACGCCUGGCCCCGCUGCCCUCCUCCGCACGCCCACCUCCGCCCACCUGCCGCCCUCCUCCCGCCGCUCCCGCCCCCGCCGCCGCCCUCCGCCCGGCCCUGCCACCUUCCUCCGCCCGCCCGCCCGCUACCUCUCCCACCUCUGCCGUCCGUCCGGCCGCGCCGCCUUCCUCCACCUUCCCGCCGUCGCUCCCGUCUCCGCCUUCCCGCCACACGCCCCCGCCGCCCUCCGCCACUCCCACCUCCACCCUCUGCCCACAGCCACCCCCGCCCGCCCACCGCCACCGCUACCGUCGUCGUCUCACCUCGCCCCGCCGCUACCGUCAUCAUCUCACCUCGCCCCGCCGCUGCUCCUCACUGUGCCGGUAAGGGGCGAGCGGAGGGGGGAGGGGUGGGGAGGUAGUGGAUCGAGAUCUAGCUAGCGGAAGGGGAGAUAGAGGAGAGAGAGAUAGCAGCCGGGGUGGGGGACGAAUGGUGCAUAUGCAAAUAAGAUAGCAGUGGGGGGGGUUGGACGGAUGGGAAAUAAAGACAACAGAAGGAGACGAGCAGUGGAUGGAAGGCCUUUAGUACCAGAUGGGGGCUCUACCAGGUGGAGCUCCCACCCGAUACUAAAGGGUAACCUUUAGUAUCAGGUGAGCCCCCACCUGGUACUAAACGGGGGCACGAGGACCUCCUCAGGGAUUAUCCGUUAGGCUCGGUACUAAUGCUCACAUUAGUAUCGUGCCAAAAUACAACUGGUAUUGAGCCUCGGGUCGAAAGACCAUUUCUCUAGUAGUUCACCGCGCAUGGCCUAUACUAAUUAAUCGAUGAGAAGUGAUAUCUCUGCAGCUAAAAAAGUAAAAAGACCAUCAAAACGUCGUCCUACAUUCGCCACAAUAUACAGUAAGCAAUAUACGUACACAUACAUAUUGUGUACGGUCCCAUGGGCACAUGCAUAUUAUGACAAAUUAUUCUGUAUGAGCACUACAGAUUAAAUAGUAUGCUCCUCCCAUGACCUUUCAUGCUUUUGGAGCCAAAUAUAGAAUGUAUAUUUUUGAAGCAUUAUGGCGGUUACAUAUAUAAGCUCUUCCUUUUCGAAAGGAAGAUCGAGUUUGUUCAUUCGAAAUGUUAAAACAAAUGUUCAUAUCAAAGGUUUUGGAAAGUCAAAACCAAACGGUACACGUGCACCACCCUAUCUCCAAAAUAAUAAAUCUAGUGUCUAUAUCUUCUAAAAUGCAAUGAAAUCUAUUUUCUCCUAUGUAUAAUCGAGGGUAUUAUUUUGAAAUUUUUGAGAUCUAAUUUUGCAACCUCGAGGAUUAUUAGCGGUUGUGUGCUGGCAUCGGAUCAAUGAGAAUUACACCAAAACUGGUUGGCAUGUCUGGAGUUCAACUUUUUUGAACGAUUGGCUAGAUUUCACUUUGGUAACAGUUAAUUAUUACAAUCAUCAUCAAGAAGUUUUGUUAACAAAACUAAUUCUCGAUUUGGUAUGUAGCCAGUUAACUUUGGCUAGGAACUAAAGAGUCGAUGAGUUUAGCCAAUUAGCAUUCGACCAUUCGUGUGGUGUACAUAUUUUUUUUUACUGUACAAUACAAAUUAAAUGGAAGCUAAGCCAUAGUUCAGCUUCUCUCCCACGAAAAAGGUCAAACAAAGUUGAUUAGACAACGAACGUUCACCAGUAGAGAAACGAGCAUUAGUCCUAGUCGAGAAAACUCAUUAUCUCGGUUUUCCCAACCGGUACAACUGGUAGUAAAGGUCCUUAAGCGAAACAUACUCGUGCGCAGUGCGUAGUAUUCGAACCCACGACCUCAAGUCUCGCGCGUAGGUUCCUUACCAUCUCACUUACAUAACACAUCUAGUUUAAUAGGGGAUGUAAUUCUUUUGUACUAACUUGUGGGGACCCUUUAGUCCCGGUUGGUGGACUAAAGGUCACCCUUUAGUGCGUGAUGGCCGUGAGGCUGACCUCGGCACAGCAUCUGGACGGCCUGAUGAGCAAUGGCAGCGGCAAGGCGUUCGUCGUCACUCCUUCCCACGCCUGCGGCGCGCCAAGCAUUCCUCCCGGGAUGGCGGUCGCCGCGGAGGUGCACGCAACCGAUGUGGUGGUUCCCGUCCCAGGUGGGCUAUUCGGUUCGAUGAUCAAUGGCAGCCUGCAUGCAACGACGAACGCCGGCGGCGCCGUCACCAGCCACAACAAGGGCGCCGGUGACACUGUCCACGCGCAGAUGCCAACCAUCGCCGCCUCAGAUGGGCUGGCCCUUCCGUACGUCGAAAUGGUUUUUGCUGAAGUCAUAGAUCGUUUCGCUUGCCUGCUCCUAGGCAUAUCUUCAUCCGAACCUCCGCUAGUAUAUAAUAUAAUGAAAAAAUAAAUCUGUGAUGAAGGUCAGGUAUAUGGGUUGCAUUGUCGUGCCAUCAUUCCUAGGGACUUUAGUACCAAUUUUGCAACCAUCACUAAUAGUUCGGUACUAAGGUACUAAGGGGACCCUUUAGUACCGGUUGAAAUAGCGGGUACCAAAGGGUAUUAAAACAAUUAAAAAAAGCAAACCCCCCUGCCGCCCUCCGCAUGCCUGGCCCCGCCUCCGUCCUCCGCCGCCCACCCGCCGCCCUCCUCCCGCCGCCCCCGCCCCCGCCGCCGCCCUCCGCCCGCCCCGCCGCCUUCCUCUGCCCGCCCGCCUCUCCCGCCUCCGCCCUCCGCACGGCCCCGCCACCUUCCCGCCACUGCCGCUCCCGCCUCCACCCUCCUGCCGCCUGCCCCCACCUCCACUCACCCUCCUCCUGCCGCCCUGCCCCCGCCGCCGCCCUCCGCCCGGCCCCGCCGCCUUCAUCUGCCCGCCCGCCGCCUCUCCCACUUCUACCCUCCGCCCGGCCCCGCACCUUCCUCCACCUUUCUGCCACCGCUCCCGCCUCCGCCCUCCUGUCGCCUGCCCUCCUCCCGCCGCCCGCCCGCCACCCUCCGCCACUCACACCUCUGCCCUCUGCCCGCCACCGCCGUCUAACCUCGCCCCGCCGCUGCUCCUCACUGCGCCGGUAAGGGGCGAGCGGAGGGGGGAGGGGAGGGGAGGCAGUGGAUCGAGAUCUAGCUUGCGGAAGGGGAGAUAAAGGAGAGAGAGAGAGAGAUAACAGCGGGGAUGGGGCGAAAACAGAUGAUGCAUGUGAAGAUAAGAUAGCAGUGGCGGGGACGGAUGGGAAAUAAAGACAGCAGAAAAGGACGAGCGGCGGUUGGAAGGCCUUUAGUACCAGAUGGGGGCUCUACCGGGUGGAGCUCCCAUCCGAUACUAAAGGGUGAUAUUUAGUACCGGGUGGAGCCCCCACCCGGUACUAAACGGGGGCACGAGGGCCUCCUCGGGGACUAUCCGAUAGGUUCGGUGCCAAAAUACAUGCACUAUUGAGCCUUGGGACGAAAGGCCAUUUCUCUAGUAGUGCACUGCGCAUGGCCUAUACUAAUUAAUCGAUGAGAAGUGAUAUAUCUACAGCUAAAAAGGUAAAAAGACCAUCAAAACGUCAUCCUACAUUCGCCACGAUAUGUACACAUACAUAUUGUGUACGGUCCCAUGGGCACAUGCAUAUUAUGACAAUUUAGUCUGUAUGUGCACUACAAAUUAAAUAGUAUACGCUCCUCCCAUGACUUUUCAUGCUUUUGGAGCCAAAUAUAAAAUAUAUAUUUUUGAAACAUUAUGGCGGUUACAUAUAUAAGCUCUUCCUUUUCAAAAGGAAGAUCGAGUUUGUUCAUUCGAAAUGUUAAAACAAAUGUUCAUAUCAAAGGUUUUGGAAAGUCAAAACCAAACGGUACACGGGCACCACCCUAUCUCCAAAAUUUUAAAUCUAGUGUCUAUAUCUUCUAAAAUGCAAUGAAAUCUAUUUUCUCCUAUGUAUAAUCGAGGGUAUUAUUUUGAAAUUUUUGAGAUCUAAUUUUGCAACCUCGAGGAUCAUUAGCGGUUGUGUGCUGGCAUCGGAUAUGAGAAUUACACCAAAACUGGUUGGCAUGGCUGGAUUUCACUUUUUUUGAACGAUUGGCUAGAUUUCAGUUUGGUAACAGUUAAUUAUUACAAUCAUCAUCAAGAAGUUUUGUUAAACAAAACUAAUUGUGGAUUUGGUAUGUAGCCAGUUAACUUUGGCUAGGAGCUAAAGAGUCGAUGAGUUUAGCCAAUUAGCAUUAGACCAUUCGCGAACCAAGGUGAGCUACGGUCUUUCCGUGGUGUACAUAUUUUUUUACUACAAUACAAAUUAAAUGGAAGCUUAAGCCAUAGUUCAACCUCGCUCCCACGAAAAAAGUCAAACAAAUUCCGUGGUGUACAUAUUUUUUUGAUACUGUACAAUACAAAUUAAAUGGAAGCUAAGCCAUAGUUCAACUUCUCCCUCGAAAAAAGUCAAACAAAUUUAAUGAGACCACGAACACAGGUAGAGAAACGAGCAUUAGUGUUGGGAAACCCAAUAGAUCUUGAUUUUACCAACCGAGACUAAAGGGUUUUGCGCAAAAGAGAAUAUUGGAAAUUCUCGGGAGGCCCCCCCCAACGCACGCGCAAGUUACAAGUUACGUGAUUUUUCACGCAAAAUAUGCGCAUGAGUCGUGCGUUGGAUUCGAACCUACGACCUCAAACCUCCCGCGUAGCUUCUUUACCAUCUCACCUACAAAGCACAUCUAAUUGAGUAGAGGAUGCAGUCUUUUUGUAGUAACUCGUGGGGGACACUUUAGUCCGAAUUUGUAACACCAACCGGGACUAGUCAUCUUUAGUCCCGGUUGGUGGUUGGUGUUACCAACUAGAACUAAGGUGUCUCCGCGGACGAGCUUUUUAUUAAGGAUCACCUUUAAUCCCGGUUAGUUUUGGGUUCAAAAACAACCCAGACUUUUAUUAGGGAUGGAAGAUUAUUUUUCUACUAGUGAACGUUAUCAUUCAUGCGUAUCGAAAGCAGCCCCGGCAUCGAAACACCACCUCUCGCCUAUAAAUGGUGACCAAACCUUUCGCUGCAAUGGCAACCACCAAGGCUGCAAUGGCAACCAGCAAGAUGCUUCUCCCGGUCACUCUCUGCUUCCUCCUCGUGCUCGCAGCGGAGAGCAAGGAGGACGAUAAUACUGUCGUCGUCUUCUACGGCACAGCGCGAUGCAAGAUCAACACCUCCAGGAUCAUCAGCAGUAAGUAAAUUUAUAUGCUGGGUCAACAAGCUAAUUAAACUUCUUUCACAAAUCAAAUGGCCCAAGAAUAAUAGACAAUCAUAUGAGUUUGAGUUUGCUAACCACGCCUUCCACGCGGUCCGAAUAAUCGACAAUCAUAUAACGUAUGCAUGCAGCGGAAGACUAUGUACAUGGCAUCAUAAAUUUUACGCAAAAACAUAGUUCCAAAUUGUACAUAUUAUUAUGUAUCUGGACAUAAACUGUAUCUAGACAAAAAUUAUGCACCAAGAAAAAUUAAAAUGAUCUACAAUUUGGAAUGCAGGGAGUAGCAUUUUGCAUGCCGUCGUCGUCUCAUCACCGUGUGCGUGUGUGCAGAUGCUCCUUUGCAGCUGGUGAUCAACAACGCCACGAUCCCCGGCACCGGCAGGACGACGAGCACGGGCCAGAUCGUGAUGGCCGUGAGCCUGACCUCGGCACAGCAUCUGGACGCCCUGACGAGCAAUGGCAGCGGCAAGGCGUUCCUUGUUGCUCCUCCGCACGCCUGCGGCGCGCCAAGCAUUCCUCCCGGGAUGGCGGUCGCCGCGGAGGUGCACCCAACCGAUGUGGUUUCCGCCUCAGGUGGGCUACUCCGUCCGAUGAACAACGGCGGCCUGCAUGCAACGACGAACGCCGGCGGCGCCGCCACCAGCCACAACAAGGGUGCCGGUGACACUGUCCACGCGCAGACGCCAACCAUCGCCGCCUCAGAUGGGCUGGUCCUUCCGGACGUCCAAAUGGUUUUU
rnacentral:lncRNA from 1 species